rnacentral:rRNA from 1 species
GACGAACCGUGCGAACGUUGUUCGGAAUCACUGGGCUUAAAGGGCGCGUAGGCGGGCGAGCGAGUCAGGGGUGAAAGCCCACGGCCCAACCGUGGAAGUGCCUUUGAUACUGCUCGUCUGGAGGGAGGUAGGGGCGUGCGGAACUUCCGGUGGAGCGGUGAAAUGCGUAGAUAUCGGAAGGAACACCGGUGGCGAAAGCGGCGCGCUGGACCUCUUCUGACGCUGAGGCGCGAAAGCCAGGGGAGCAAACGGG